UUAUAAAACAGUUGAUCAGGGAUAGAGUUUUGUAUAGAGAUAGCAUUGAGAUAUAAUGGUCAAUGAUGACGAAGGGAACUAGCUAGAAAGCUAGCGUCUGAAGAAGUCCUUGUGAUCUUCAGUUCAAAGGUGUGCGGUGUACAAAGUACAGGCUAGCUAGCACAGUUUUUCAGCUUCAGCAGCGACCAAAGAUCCAAACUUGCCAGCAAUAUCUUACCCUUACUGGCGAUCAAAAAAAUAAAUCAGCUUUUAGACGACGAGACAAGCGCAACCACUAACUUCAUCAAUUCUUCACAUGUACGGAGCAAGACUCCUUUCAUGAUAUGAGCGGCAGCACUUAUAUCUGGAUGCCUAUUCUAUGUGGAGCUACGGAGACAAACAGCUGAUCAUAUCUUUGUCAUUGGAUGCAAGAUUACUGCUUGUAUAUGGAGGCCCUUCUUUGGCGCCUUUUAGCUAGUUGAAAAUUGAAUGCGAAAAUUGAAUCAUCUUGCUGUGGUAUGUUAUGCCCUAAUUGAUGAGCUAGGUAGCAUGUAUAUCAACUAUUCUUGUUGUUUCAUGUAAUAUUCCGUGUAUAAAUAUUCUAAAGAAAGCAUAUAUACUAGCAAUGAUUUCCAACCUUUCUCAUUAAUCCAAUUCCUCAUACACAGAA